GUAGGUGGCAAGCGUUGUCCGGAAUUAUUGGGCGUAAAGCGCGCGCAGGCGGUUCUUUAAGUCUGAUGUGAAAGCCCACGGGCUCAACCGUGGAGGGUCAUUGGAAACUGGAGAACUUGAGUACAGAAGAGGAAAGCGGAAUUCCACGUGUAGCGGUGGAAUGCGUAGAGGUGUGGAGGAACACCAGUGGCGAAGGCGGCUUUCUGGUCUGUAACUGACGCUGAGGCGCGAAAGCGUGGGGAGCAAACAGGAUUAGAUACCCUGGUAGUCCACGCCGUAAACGAUGAGUGCUAAGUGUUAGGGGGUUUCCGCCCCUUAGUGCUGCAGCUAACGCAUUAAGCACUCCGCCUGGGGAGUACGGCCGCAAAGGCUG
rnacentral:rRNA from 1 species